AACGUAGGACGCAAGCGUUAUCCGGAGUUACUGGGCGUAAAGCGCGGGCAGGCGGCUCGAAACGUCUGAUGUGAAAGCACCCGGCUCAACCGGGUGAGGCCAUUGGAAACGGUCGAGCUGGAGGGCAGUAGAGGUAGGCGGAAUUCCGGGUGGAGUGGUGAAAUGCGUAGAGAUCCGGAGGAACACCAGAGGCGAAGGCGGCAUCCUGGACCGGCAUUGACGCUGAGGCGCGAAAGCUAGGGGAGCAAACGGG
rnacentral:rRNA from 1 species